rnacentral:rRNA from 1 species
AGAGUUUGAUCAUGGCUCAGAUUGAACGCUGGCGGCAUGCCUAACACAUGCAAGUCGAACGGUAACGCGGGGGCAACCCUGGCGACGAGUGGCGGACGGGUGAGUAAUACGUAGGAAUCUGCCCAUUUGUGGGGGAUAACCCGACGAAAGCCGGGCUAAUACCGCAUACGCUCUACGGAGGAAAGCGGGGGAUCGUAAGACCUCGCGCUAAUGGAUGAGCCUACGUCGGAUUAGCUAGUUGGUAGGGUAACGGCCUACCAAGGCGACGAUCCGUAGCUGGUCUGAGAGGACGAUCAGCCACACUGGGACUGAGACACGGCCCAGACUCCUACGGGAGGCAGCAGUGGGGAAUAUUGGACAAUGGCCGCAAGGCUGAUCCAGCCAUCCAGCGUGCAGGAAGAAGGCCCUAUGGGUUGUAAACUGCUUUUGUCAGGGAAUAAACCCUUGGAUUUACUCCGAGGCUGAAGGUACCUGAAGAAUAAGCACCGGCUAACUCCGUG